AUGACACUGCAUCUGCUACUGUAAGGAAGAUUUUAUCGUCACCGAUUGUUUGAGCAAAACUCGAGGCGUGGAGCUUGUCGAUUACCACAGGUCCAGGAUUUGCUAGAAUCAGCUGUCACAUUAAGUAACAUCUCAGUUACCUGAAUAUCUUUCUUUAGAAGGCUCUUGUAUAGUUCUUCCAAGUCAUGGAUACCACUGGUGUCAAUGUCAGUAACAGCUGUUCAAGUAUGCAAAAAUAGAUAUAAGCAUCAUAAUGAGAAUAAGAGGAAAAAAAAGAACUACUACAAAAUUAGUCGGCGUAAUUAAUACGAACGGAAAAUAGUACAACUUACGCGACAUCUCCACAAUUAAAAACUGUAUUUUUGGUUGGUAGGAUGAUUUUAAUUCUUCUUCCUCAUCUAUCAACCAUCUCAAAAUCCUGCGACAACAUAGUUCAAGUUAGCCUGCUUACUUUUAUUAAAUAUCUAGCACGGUGAGCUCUGAAGAACGAAAAAUGCAGUUUUACCUCUCUCUAAUAUAAUUGGAGUUGGAAAAGUAAAUUGCAGAAUCAACUCUCACAAUCAUAACACCAGGAACCUUAGUUGCCCCUGGAUAUUGUUGAAUGUUUCUAUACACAUUUGUUCCAGCUAAUUUUCCUAGAAUUGCAGUCCGUGGCCUAGUAACUUGCAGCAGAAUUUUGGCAAAUGAUAUUGCAACCUGAUAAAAACGAAGUAAAGUUAAUUUAUCUAUCCAGAUGACAACCAAAAUUUCGUAAGGAAAUUAUACAUAAGAAAUAUUGAUUCUUACUGCAAUCAAUAGGCCGAUUUCUACUGAAUAAAAAAUUACGCCGAAGAAUGCUCCCAUGCAAGCAAUAAAAUCAAAUUUAUCUAUCUUCCAUAUCAAAAUUGCUGCCUCAAAGUCAAUUAGGCCAAGCACGGCCGAUAUAAUAAUGGCGGCUAGAAUAGCAUUUGGGGUAUACUUGAAUAGAGGUGUGAUGAAAAAUAAAGUAAGAACCACAACGCAAGACAUGAUAAUGUUGGAGACUGCUGUAUGGCAGCCAGCCAUGUAAUUUACGGCUGACCGAGAAAAUGAACCUGCAAGAUAGCCGUCAUAAAGUCAAGUCAAUAUUUUGAACUUAGCCAACAAUUUGACCAGAUACAUUAUAGGAUUGGAUGCAUUUAUUUACAUCUACAAGGAAACUUGCUGAGUCCUACAUAUUACAUUCCGUUUCUGAAUACGCUUUUGAAACUCCGAAACUUUUUUUUACAUGUAAUAUAUAAAUACAUAAAGUAUUUUUGUAACAAAUAUUGUUACGCCAUUUUUUUGUUUUAGUAUGUCUGUUUCUGCUUCCGUGCAACAUAGAUUACAUGGGUUGGAUGCUUUGAAUUUUA